UUACCUUCUUGACGGAUGAUAGCAAACUAUGGAAGACGAAGCAUAUUGUUCUCAGAGAAGGUAUCACGUGCUGCUAUCCCACUUCUCUUCUCUAUACAAAGACAUCUACUUUUGUUUUUCCUUCUUUCCUUCAUUCGCGUUAUCUGGUUUCUUGUCACACAGGCACACGCACACGCACACACACACACACACACACACAAAACGUGCUGUCUUCUCUUUCCUCUUUACCGCAUAACGUAGUAGAUUCAUAGGAAGGAGGCGGAGAAGGGGCAUGUGUGCGCGUGCGUGGGCUCUGCACCUAUAUCCUCUUGCCACGCGUUAAAUGCGCGGGGCGAGGACAUGGGAAGACUGCACAGGCACGCGCACAAAACGGCUACAAGCUCUCAGCACAUGAUGUACUUCCAUUGUAUCUCGCACCAUUUUUUUCACCCGCUCAGGUAUAUAUCUUUCUUUUCCUUUUGGUGCCGUGUGCUCUCGUGUUUCUUUUUUUUUUGUUUGGUGGCUCGCACUUCCUCUCAUCACAUCCGAAGCGGCCGAAAGAGGCGGUGCGUACAUUUCAUUCCACGCCCAUGGGUACAGCGCAAACGAGGCGGCUGCCCUCCUCCCCCCUGUUUGCAGCUAUCCCGCUGAACGUGAAGCAAUGCGACUGGGGCCGACUCUGCGGCGAGGACGAAUGGGGUGAGCCAAGACACAGAAAGGCAGGUGCUGCUGCGACGGACUCGCUUUCCCUCCUCAAGGCGCUCAGCACCGGCCCUGCAAUUGUGGAGGAUGGCAUGCUGCGAUGUAUAUGGGCACAUGUGCUGGCGCUUCCAGCCUGUCGCGUGCGCCUCUCAUUUCGGUCUGUCUGUGGUGAUUGCGACUUGGUGCACUACGGCGAAGUGGUCAAGACUGCGAAGUCGGCAGUGCCAGAGGCUCCGACGACAGCUGCGCGGAUCGCGGACUUGGUCAUCGGCCUCAGACGCCAGGCCGACAUCCCCUGCAACCGCGCUACAUGAUGCGACAUGCAGCCACAAGAGCUCCUUGGCGGCGGCUGUCUCAUACCAGAAGAACAAGGAUGCUGAGCCUACGAGCCGACAGGAGACCGUGCUUGCCCAGUCCCGCACGGGCACCUGCCCGCACUUUGGAUCCCUGCAGCGGCGGGUGGCUGGCAGUGACAAGAUGGAGUGCAGCUGGUGUGCUGCCUAUCACUGAGCAAUCAUAGUGGCGCCCCCCCCACCAGUGCUUUCCUACGAGGGCGUCCGACCCCGCGUUGUACCCCGGCAUGCUACGCGAAAUUCGCGGGUCGCCCUGCGCUCACAGCAAACCUGAUUGCACGCUGUGAUCUUGCAUGCAAUGACCUGACUACCCACAUCUCACUCGCGCCGCAUGAAGCUCGUCCGUGGGAUGUCUACCGCUGCCCCCUUGUGCCCCUUCAGUGCGGCAGGCUGUGAGCUCUUUGUGUGCGCACGCGCAUGCGUAUCCGCUGACCCCUUCCGCCUUACUCAGCCACGCGUGUGAAAGGCGUUCGGGUUCAGAGGAGGGCGGAAUGCUUUCAGCUGCCACAGACUCAUAGCAGCGUCCCAACUGUCGUGGCGCGUGCGGGCAAGCCAUCUAGACAUGCACCCAGACAACCAUGUCGCUCUGAGGAAGGCCCCAGGAUGCAGAGAUGCGAGCACUGUGCGCGCACGCUGUCAAACACCGCUGGCAUGGUGCGCCGCAUCCGAACGGGGCAUCCAGAGGCCAGAAGAGCACAAGCGAUGCACGAAAAAGGCGCAAAGAGACCCAAUACGAAUCAGCCCCAAAGCGCAUGUGCGCGAGACACGCGGCAUCUCCUACAUCCGACGGGAUGGGCUGAUGCGGCGCAGAUGCCGGAAGCAUGGCGAGGGCGCCACGAAUUUGCACCAUCGAGUCUUCCACACUCCCAUGUGAAGAGCCUCCGAACUACAUUAUGGAAUUCCGCGGCUGGAGGCGAGGCGGGAAGAAGCAUGACACACACGCAGAGUGUGCAGGGCCUCGGAGGACCCUGGCCUGAGGCCGGCCAACUUCCUAAAUUCAUCCGGCAUGCGCCUGGAUCCAUUCCCUACCACCCGUACGGAAGACGCCACCGUCUUUGCCCUCGAGCAGGACCCCAGACGCGACCCUCUUGGAUCAAGGCAUGCACUCCAGCCGAGUGUGUCGCCCUGAUCGCGCUGCACGCAUCUAAGGAAGUAACGAGGAGCGAGAAGAAGAGCGUGCUUGACAAAGGCCCGAUUGGACGGCAGAGGGUUCUUCCUGGAGGACCAGAGCGUAGCCGUGGUGCAACAGAGGCGGGUGAAGUGCUGUUUUCGUGUGCGCAUAUUUUCCGACGUUUACGUGGCCGAGUGAAACGCUGCGGAAAAAAGAUCCUCUGCCGUCCCUGAUGGUGGUGACACCUCGACGCGUGGUACCCAUGACUCUGUACACGCCCUGUGUGGGGAAGAAGCCAGGCAGCCCCUAUCCCCUGCCAAUGCUGCACCGCACCUGGCGGUGGCAGGGCCAGGCGCCUACGACGUGGGGAGGUCAGAGCGAUGCAUCGCUGCUGAAGUGGGCGGCCAGGUCGUGGAUGGCGCUGCGUCGGAGCGACCCGCGACCGUGCACCGGGCUGCGCCAUCCAUGCUAUAUGGGCGGAGUGUCAGCGCGACUCGACCGCGACCCGCCCGGCCCUCACUGCCUCCUGGUGUGGGGCGCCUGCGCCACGCCGAGGGAUGCGCCGGGUGGCGGCCGGCAUAGUGGGGGCAGCUGUGGGGCUGCGUGCGCAGAAGAGGCUGGCAGAGGCUGAGGCAGGGCCCGUGCUGAGAUGGCUGCGCCGGCGCACGGCUGUGAUGCGCGUGUCUCUAGCGCUGCUUCGCACCACGCGAUGAGGGCAUGUAACGGAGGGUGGGUAGAGUAGCGGUCGAAUCAUGCUGCGUGGCAGAGAAAUGGGCACGUCAAAAUGAAGUGAACCGAAGCAGGCAGGCUUGCUCCCAUGUCUGCUUCUCCCCUCUUCGUGUUUUUUUUGUUGUUGUCGUGGUGCUUUUGUGCCCGCGCUCUGCUCUAUCAAAGGCAUUUCACCGCGCGCCCUCUAAGCUCCUCUGUAAACUACUAGCUUGCGAAUACGUUUCUCUCCCACCGCGACGCCCACAAGCACAGGUGCUUGCGUGAUGUUUGAAUCUUGAAUGUGUGCUUGUGGUGCGGAGAGUGGCGUGUAUGGUUCGGAGGUGAUGAGGCCAGGGGCGGUGUAGCGGGGUUUCCUAAGGAAGGAGGCUCACAUACAAGGAAGCGAGAAGGGAAAAAAGGAGGAGCGCACGAGCAUCUGCUUGAAUGUUUGCUAGAUCUCUCUGUCUGUAUGUGUGCGCCCUUUUUCGCUCAGGUCAGCGUGUGUGUGUGCGAUGCUCUUUUUCGUGCCCCUCCUGUCUCGCAGUCAUUUUUUCCGUCUCUUGUCCCACCCCUUGCCGCUUCCUGUGUGGCGGCACUUCGUGAGCG
rnacentral:misc_RNA from 1 species